rnacentral:rRNA from 1 species
GGCCGAUGACUCGGGGAUAGCCUUUCGAAAGAAAGAUUAAUACCCGAUGGCAUAAUUCUUCCGCAUGGUAGAACUAUUAAAGAAUUUCGGUCAUCGAUGGGGAUGCGUUCCAUUAGGUUGUUGGCGGGGUAACGGCCCACCAAGCCUUCGAUGGAUAGGGGUUCUGAGAGGAAGGUCCCCCACAUUGGAACUGAGACACGGUCCAAACUCCUACGGGAGGCAGCAGUGAGGAAUAUUGGUCAAUGGACGAGAGUCUGAACCAGCCAAGUAGCGUGAAGGAUGACUGCCCUAUGGGUUGUAAACUUCUUUUAUACGGGAAUAAAGUGAGGCACGUGUGCCUUUUUGUAUGUACCGUAUGAAUAAGGAUCGGCUAACUCCGUGCCAGCAGCCGCGGUAAUACGGAGGAUCCGAGCGUUAUCCGGAUUUAUUGGGUUUAAAGGGAGCGUAGGCGGACGCUUAAGUCAGUUGUGAAAGUUUGCGGCUCAACCGUAAAAUUGCAGUUGAUACUGGGUGUCUUGAGUACAGUAGAGGCAGGCGGAAUUCGUGGUGUAGCGGUGAAAUGCUUAGAUAUCACGAAGAACUCCGAUUGCGAAGGCAGCCUGCUGGACUGUAACUGACGCUGAUGCUCGAAAGUGUGGGUAUCAAACAGGAUUAGAUACCCUGGUAGUCCACACAGUAAACGAUGAAUACUCGCUGUUUGCGAUAUACAGUAAGCGGCCAAGCGAAAGCGUUAAGUAUUCCACCUGGUGGAUG